AGAGUUUGAUCCUGGCUCAGAGCGAACGCUGGCGGCGUACCUAACACAUGCAAGUCGAACGGGGAUCACAGGGUUAGCAAUAACUCCGUGGUUCUAGUGGCGCACGGGUGAGUAACACGUGGGUAACCUGCCCUUGAGACUGGGAUACCCCCUCGAAAGGGGGGCUAAUACCGGAUACGUUCCUCGGAUCGAAAGGUCUGAGGAGGAAAGGUGGCGAAAGCUGCCGCUCUUGGAGGGGCUCGCGGCCUAUCAGCUAGUUGGCGGGGUAACGGCCCACCAAGGCUAUGACGGGUAGCUGGUCUGAGAGGACGACCAGCCACACGGGGACUGAGACACGGCCCCGACUCCUACGGGAGGCAGCAGUGGGGAAUUUUCCGCAAUGGGCGAAAGCCUGACGGAGUGACGCCGCGUGUGGGACGAAGGCCUUCGGGUCGUAAACCACUGUCAGUGGGAAAGAUGGGUGUCGGCGUGAUAACCGCCGGCAUUUGACGGUACCUGCAGAGGAAGCCCCGGCUAACUCUGUGCCAGCAGCCGCGGUAAGACAGAGGGGGCAAGCGUUGCUCGGAAUUACUGGGCGUAAAGGGCGCGUAGGCGGGAUGGCAAGUCGGUCGUGAAAUCCCUCGGCUCAACUGAGGAUCGUCGAUCGAUACUGCCGUUCUUGAGGAUUGCAGAGGAGACUGGAAUUCCCGGUGUAGCGGUGAAAUGUGUAGAUAUGUGGAGGAACACCGAUGGCGAAGGCAGCCCCCUGNGUUAACACUGACGCUCAUGCACGAAAGCGUGGGGAGCAAACAGGAUUAGAUACCCUGGUAGUCCACGCCCUAAACUAUGUCAACUGGUUGUCGGGGGAUUAACUCCCUUGGUAACGAAGCUAACGCGUGAAGUUGACCGCCUGGGGAGUACGGCCGCAAGGUUAAACUCAAAGGAAU
rnacentral:rRNA from 1 species